GAAGAGAAAGGUGGCUUAGUGUCUGAUGCCUAUGGAGAAGACGACUUCUCUCGCCCAGGGGGUGAUGAAGAUGGUUAUGAAGAAGAGGAGGAUGAGAACAGUAAGCAGUCGGAAGAUGACGAUUCAGAGACUGAAAAACCUGAGGCUGAUGACCCAAAGGAUAACACAGAAGCAGAGAAGCGGGAUCCCCAGGAAUUAGUGGCUUCCUUUUCUGAAAAGGUCCGCAACAUGUCACCAGACGAGAUCAAGAUCCCACCAGAACCGCCGGGCAGAUGUUCAAAUCACUUACAAGUAAGCACAGGUCUGGCUGCUGAGGCCCAUGUGACUGAGAUGGCCUGGGUUACAUUGUCUGCUUAUGCUAUGGCCUUCAGAGGCC
rnacentral:lncRNA from 1 species